rnacentral:rRNA from 1 species
GACGAACGCUGGCGGCGUGCCUAAUACAUGCAAGUCGAACGCAGUGGGGACGGGUGAGUAACACGUGGGUAACCUCCCAUCAGAGGGGACAACACUUGGAAACAGGUGCUAAACCGAUACUGAUGGAUGGACCCGCGGUGCAUUAUGUAGUUGGUGAGGUAACGGCGCACCAAGGCCACGAUGCAUAGAGGGCCUGAGAGGGGGAUAGGCCACAGUGGGCCUGAGACACGGCCCAGACUCCUAAGGGAGGCAGCAGUAGGGAAUCUUCGGCAAUGGACGAAAGUCUGACCGAGCAACGCCGCGUGAGUGAAGAAGUUUUUCGGAUCGUAAAACUCUGUUGUUAGAGAAGCGGUAUCUAACCAGAAAGCCACGGCUAACUACGUGCCAGCAGCCGCGGUAAUUC